GCAGAAGGGAGGUCUGUCGCUUCAUGCCGGGCGCAUGAAGAGGAAAGUCCGGGCAACGCAGAGCACCAUAUUUGUCAACGGCAAGCCGGCGGCGACGUCGGGGAUAAUGUGACAGAAAACUACCGCCUGCCAUAUCUGAUAUGACAGGUAAGGGUGAAAAGGCGGGGUAAGAGCCCACCGGAUGCCGUGGCGACAC
rnacentral:RNase_P_RNA from 1 species